rnacentral:rRNA from 1 species
UACGAAGGGGGCUAGCGUUGUUCGGAAUUACUGGGCGUAAAGCGUACGUAGGCGGAUUGUUAAGUUAGGGGUGAAAUCCCGGGGCUCAACCCCGGAACUGCCUUUAAUACUGGCAAUCUCGAGUCCGAGAGAGGUGAGUGGAAUUCCGAGUGUAGAGGUGAAAUUCGUAGAUAUUCGCAAGAACACCAGUGGCGAAGGCGGCUUACUGGUCCGGUUCUGACGCUGAGGCGCGAAAAGCGUGGGGAGCAAACAGGG